ACUGCUUAUAACAUUACUUGUAUGUCAUCAUAAUACGUAUAGACACGGAGCCUUUAGCCUUGCGAACCUGCAGACGUAACUUACAUAAUACAUAACUUGUAAAAUUGCGGUAUAAAUUACCGUCCACACGUAGCGCGUCCCAGUUCGAAAUAAAUCCACCGCGAUCACGAUAUACAUACGUAUGGGUGUGCAAGUGAUAUUUUCACCGAGCUGCGAGAAGAGGUGAUCGCGAAGAAGCUUUUCUUCUCGUUUCUUUUCGUUUUUCAUUUUUCCGGGACAAAAAUGAGCUAGGCUUCAAACUUAUACAUAUGGUUAACAAAGUGCGAAGAUCGGCUCGUCAGUGUUACACGUGCAGCAUCGAUACACCGUGGGUACGAUAUAUUGGUACUACAAUUAUAAAAUGCACACCAGCCCCUCGUUUGAACUGCACCAAGUUAUACAUGUAUGUAUACGUGUGGUAUAGAGGGACCGAUGCAGCGAUGCAAAGAGUGCUGUGAUUCGACGUAGUCGCUGCAGCUUGUGAACGUAGAAGAGAAGAAGGAUGAAGAAAAUACGAGGAGAUUUUCUUCGCGUUCUUCAUCCGAUCGGAAUUGCGUCUACAAUUUUUUUUCCAACCACCUUUCGCACUCCUCGGUAUACUGCAGUCAGCGUGCAUUUACGACUGCUGCUGCAACACAACGGUGAACUUUGACCUCUGGAGAUGCGUUAGUCUUCCUUUUUCUUUUUCUUCUUUUGAGCCAUAAAAAUUUGUCUCGCAAUAACUUCACUGCAUACGUUAUAGCGUUAAAUUCAAUAAAUUGCCAACUGCAGCAGAAAUAGAAACGAAUGAGAAACUGCACGAUA
rnacentral:lncRNA from 1 species